GUGUGUACAAUUAGUAGGCUUAGGGCUAGUGCUGGAUGUAACAUAGAAUCUACACAUUUUCACAUGUCUCGGGAAAAAUUGACCAAUCCCUACGUCUUUUAGAUUUAAAUCAAGUUUUGGCACAGAAGCUUAUUGAGUCACUGGCGCCACUGAUGCUCAAGUGAACAGUGAUCCAUGUGUUUGCUAGCAUUCAAACGGGACCCUCCUUUUAUCUAGAUCUAAUCUUUUAAUCUACCAUAAUCUUAUAUCUAUCUCUUGUCAUCUCGUGACAUCUUCGGUUGAAGAUCAAAACACAGAUCUCUUCUUUGUAAUAUAAAAAGGGAACAUCAUACAGAUUGCUAGAGAUUAUUACCUUUGAGAAACAGACAAGAAAUAAAAACACUAUAAAAAAUUGGUGUAUCAAAGAUGCCAGCAUUCUUUAAGGGACAUCAAUGUCUAGUUAUCAGAUGAUUAGAACCAUCACUUGUGAGGAACUGGCCAGAAGGUGAAACAUGUGUUAAGUGCUAUGCCACAAAGUGUUAUUUAAGGCAA